UGGGGAAUUUUGGACAAUGGGCGCAAGCCUGAUCCAGCCAUGCCGCGUGCGGGAAGAAGGCCUUCGGGUUGUAAACCGCUUUUGUCAGGAACGAAACGGUGUUGGUGAAUAACCAGCGCUAAUGACGGUACCUGAAGAAUAAGCACCGGCUAACUACGUGCCAGCAGCCGCGGUAAUACGUAGGGUGCAAGCGUUAAUCGGAAUUACUGGGCGUAAAGCGUGCGCAGGCGGUUAUGUAAGACAGGUGUGAAAUCCCCGGGCUCAACCUGGGAACUGCAUUUGUGACUGCAUAGCUAGAGUUUGUCAGAGGGGGGUGGAAUUCCACGUGUAGCAGUGAAAUGCGUAGAUAUGUGGAAGAACACCGAUGGCGAAGGCAGCCCCCUGGGAUAAGACUGACGCUCAUGCACGAAAGCGUGGGGAGCAAACA
rnacentral:rRNA from 1 species